UGCGAUAAAGGCAAACUCAGUGAGAACUGAGGACGCAAAGCCACGGGUCUUACACAUGUGUGAAGACAGCCGGGUUAUCGAAU
rfam:Desulfosporosinus meridiei DSM 13257, complete genome.